AUUGAACGCUGGCGGCAGGCCUAACACAUGCAAGUCGAACGAGGGGCGGACGGGUGAGGAAUGGCUGGGAAACUGCCCGAUGGAGGGGGAUAACUACUGGAAACGGUAGCUAAUACCGCAUACCAUCGGAUGUGCGCAGAUGGGAUUAGCUUGUAGGUGAGGGAACGGCUCACCUAGGCGACGAACCCUAGCUGGUCUGAGAGGAUGACCAGCCACACUGGAACUGAGACACGGUCCAGACUCCUACGGGAGGCAGCAGUGGGGAAUAUUGCACAAUGGGCGCAAGCCUGAUACAGCCAUGCCGCGUGUGUGAAGAAGGCCUUCGGGUUGUAAAGUUCUUUCGUCGGGGAGGCGUUACCCACCGAAGAAGCACCGGCUAACUCCGUGCCAGCAGCCGCGGUAAUAC
rnacentral:rRNA from 1 species